rnacentral:lncRNA from 1 species
UAGACCCUAUACUAAACGAUUAAUUACAAAAGAAAUAUAUAAUAUAGAAUUAGGCUGGAAUACUAUUAAUAGUAAAACACUCUUUUUACUAUCAAGUUUCUAACCCUUGGAUGAAAAAUUGUAGGGUCAGGAUGAUAUUAGUCAGUUAGAAAUUAGAAUUGAGUAGUCCCCCUAGAAUUCAGUGGUCCCCACUGGGUUAUAGUAUUUAAUCCAAUGAUUAGAAAUAAUGAAAAGAGUUGAUCCAAAGGCUAAAGAACUGGUAGCAACAAUGGAAUUUUGCUACUAAUAGUAGCCCAGUCCAACUCUAUUUAUAUAUAUAUAUAUAUAUAUAUAUAUAUAUAUAUAUAUAUAUAUAUAUAUAUAUAUAUAUAUAUAUAAAGAGAGAGAGAGAGAGAGAGUUGAGCUAGAAUACUAUCGAUUGCAAACGGGCUCCAUUGCCACUUAUUUGUUUUCGAUGAUAGAGCCUCUAAAUCGACGAUCGGUACCGUUGAAAAUAAUCUAUACCACUUGAAGUGUUUAGAAAUCAAAUUUCAAAUCUUUUCGACAUCAUUUGCCUAAUGAUCAAAAGGUUUCAAAUUUGCACUUUUAAUGGUCAAUAUGAGACGUUUUCUUGUUUAACGGCAUAAAGAUAUCCAAAUCAAUUGAAUUUUUGUUAGAAAAUUCUUUAAACUAUUUAAAACAAGAUCUAUACUUUUGAUCUUGAUUAAAAGAGUACUCCUAUCAUCAUUUUUUAAAGAAUAUUCAUUUUCAGCCGUUCAUUUUUGUGUCCGUUCGAUGGAUAAGAGAACAAUAUUGAAAAUAUAUGAAAUUUGAUUUCAAAAUACUUCAAGUGGUAUAGAACAUGUUCAAUGGUGCCGAUCGUCGAUUUGGAUGCUCCAUCAUCGAAAACAAAUGAGUGGCAACAGAGCCCGUUUGCUAUCGAUAGUAUUCUAGCUCAACUCUCUCUCUCUCUCUCUCUCUCUCUCUCUCUCUCUCUCUCUCUCUCUCUCUCUCU